GAUGAACGCUGGCGGCGUGCCUAAUACAUGCAAGUCGAGCGAACGGACGAGAAGCUUGCUUCUCUGAUGUUAGCGGCGGACGGGUGAGUAACGCGUGGAUAACCUACCUAUAAGACUGGGAUAACUUCGGGAAACCGGAGCUAAUACCGGAUAAUAUUUUGAACCGCAUGGUUCAAAAGUGAAAGACGGUCUUGCUGCCACUUAUAGAUGGAUCUGCGCUGCAUUAGCUAGUUGGUAAGGUAACGGCUUACCAAGGCAACGAUGCAUAGCCGACCUGAGAGGGUGAUCGGCCACACUGGAACUGAGACACGGUCCAGACUCCUACGGGAGGCAGCAGUAGGGAAUCUUCCGCAAUGGGCGAAAGCCUGACGGAGCAACGCCGCGUGAGUGAUGAAGGUCUUCGGAUCGUAAAACUCUGUUAUUAGGGAAGAACAUAUGUGUAAGUAACUGUGCACAUCUUGACGGUACCUAAUCAGAAAGCCACGGCUAACUACGUG
rnacentral:rRNA from 1 species